UAAAUGGAACUCCUGCGUUUGUUGGAUCCAGGUUUCCACUGUGCAGACACAAAGAACAGUCAGGAGUGAGGGCCCCAGGCCUCAAAGCUGUGACAUGGACUGCAGGAGCUCUCCUUGCCCCCUUAAUGACUGCCACCAGAAAGUAUGCUAAUGAAAUUCUGCAGAAAGCAAACACUGAGAGAUAUUACUACCACAAAAGAGGAUUAACGGCUCAAACAGGAAAGAAAUAGAUACUGUGGCAACUGGAAUAACAGACAUGGAAUGAAAUUUAAAAGCAUAUAAUGUAUGUAUGAAAAACCAACAGCAGGAGCUCAGCCCUUGGAAACCAAACACAGAACAGGUCCUUUAGCUGAACAGAGGCUACCUGUAAGUCACUGCUGUGAAGACAUCUGUGGCAAACUGAACACAAUCCUAAAAUAUUUAAGGAUACAGUGUGCUCAAGAACGCCGAACUUGUUUGGUUUUGUAUGAGUUAUGAGUGGACUUUGAAGUUCCAGGAGCCAGCUGAGGUAGCUCACCAACACACUUCAUGUUGGAAAGAGAGAAAUGGAAAUUGUCUUAACACAGCAAGGACAUAAGUCUGUCAGGGCAGGAGAGCUUUACUCC